rnacentral:rRNA from 1 species
CAGUAGCCGCGGUAAUACGUAGGGUGCGAGCGUUAAUCGGAAUUACUGGGCGUAAAGCGUGCGCAGGCGGUUAUAUAAGACAGAUGUGAAAUCCCCGGGCUCAACUUGGGACCUGCAUUUGUGACUGUAUAGCUAGAGUACGGUAGAGGGGGAUGGAAUUCCGCGUGUAGCAGUGAAAUGCGUAGAUAUGCGGAGGGACACCGAUGGCGAAGGCAAUCCCCUGGACCUGUACUGACGCUCAUGCACGAAAGCGUGGGGAGCAAACAGGAUUAGAUACCCCGGUAGUCCCUGUCUCUUAUAC